GGAGGCAGCAGUAGGGAAUCUUCCGCAAUGGACGAAAGUCUGACGGAGCGACGCCGCGUGAGCGAAGAAGGUCUUCGGAUCGUAAAGCUCUGUUGUUAGGGAAGAAGAAGUACCGUUCGAAUAGGGCGGUACGGUGACGGUACCUAACGAGAAAGCCCCGGCUAACUACGUGCCAGCAGCUGCGGUA
rnacentral:rRNA from 1 species